GUAUGGAGGGAGGGGUUCUCUCUCAUUGAUUGAUCUGAACCGUGCUUUUCUUCUCCCCAUUUUCCCACCCAAUUUCAGGAUGAAAAAGCACUCUGACAUCUUGAAAGCUGGCAGCUCUCUGUUUGGAAAAUCUCUGCCUAGUGAAAAAAUGUACCGACAAGAUUACUAAGUAACACAGUCUUCUGGGAAUGCCUUAUCAAUGCCAGCUAUUUGAAGAGCACCCAAAGUCAAACUAGUGCUCCGCGCUGGCAGUCUGGAAAAGGCAGAUGUAUAUUUCAGUCAGUAAUGGAUAUUACCACCAGCAUUUAAUCAAGGAAGCAGGAAGUGAUCCAUCACUGCUAGCUGCUAUCUACAGGAAUUCUGUCUACAGGCAGGGCAGACCAGUCAGCCAGUAUCUUCCCGAAGUACCUUGGUCUUCCACCAUCCAUCCCACUGAGAGAGCCGUUCCUCUAGUGAGGCAUUUCUAAGCAGCUGUCCAUUGAACUCUACCCCUUGAG
rnacentral:lncRNA from 1 species